rnacentral:rRNA from 1 species
CCUACGGGUGGCUGCAGUGGGGAAUAUUGCACAAUGGGGGAAACCCUGAUCCAGCGACGUCGCGUGAAGGAAGAAGUAUUUCGGUAUGUAAACUUCUAUCAGCAGGGAAGAAAAUGACGGUACCUGACUAAGCAGCGCCGGAUAACUACGUGCCAGCAUCCGCUGUAAUCCGUCGGGGGCAAGCGUUAUCCGGAUUUACUGGGGGUAAAGGGAGCGUAGGCGGGUUAGCAAGUCAGAAGUGAAAGCCUGGGGUUCAACUCCGGAACUGCUUUUGAAACUGUUGAACUAGAUUGCAGGAGAGGUAAGUGGAAUGCCUAGUGUAGCGGUGAAAUGCGUAGAUAUUAGGAGGAACACCAGUGGCGAAGGCGGCUUACUGGACUGUAAAUGACGCUGAGGCUCGAAAGCGUGGGGAGCAAACAGGAUUAGAUACCCGAGUAGUC